rnacentral:rRNA from 1 species
CGGCCGCGUCGACCGGAGAUUACUUACGGUAAUCUUAGUGGCGAACGGGUGAGUAACGCGUAGGCAACCGUGCCCUUCAGAUCGGGGACAACAUCCCGAAAGGGGUGCUAAUACCGAAUGUGAUCACAACCUCGCAUGAGGAUGUGAUAGAAAGAUAGGCCUCUAUUUAUAAGCUAUCGCUGAAGGAUGGGGCCUGACGUCUGAUUAGCUAGUUGGUAAGGUAACGGCUUACCAAGGCGAUGGAUCAGUUAGCCGGUCUGAGAGGAUGGAACGGCCACAUUGGGACUGAGGACACGGGCCCAGGACUCGUACGGAGGCAGCAGUGGGUAAUCGUUCGCGAAUGGGCGAAAGCCUGACGGAGCGAAUGGCCGCGUGAGUGAUGAAGGGAUUCGUCCGUAAAGCGUCGUAGUUGUACUAUGGACGUAUGUGACAGUGUUAGUGAACGAGUGACGUGUAAUGUACGGUAGUAGACGAGAAGCCUAGGCUUAACGUCGUGACUAGGCAGGCCGUGGUAAACUACGGUAGGUGGGACGAGUCGGUUGUCCGGUUAAG